rnacentral:tRNA from 1 species
ACCAGUGUGGUAUAGUGGUUUGAGCAUUAGACUAUAACUCUGGAGACCAGGGUUUGAAUCUUGGCUCAGCUA